ensembl:snRNA U1 U1 spliceosomal RNA
AUACUUAUCUGGCAGGGAAAAUACCAUGAUCACAAUGGUGUUUUUCCCAGGGUGAGGUUCAUCCAUUGCACUCUGGAUGUGCUGACUCCUGCGAUUUCCCAAAUGUAGGAAACUCAACUGCAUAAUCUGUGGCAGUGGGGGACUGUAUUCAUGCUUUCCCCUG